CACGUAGGGCGCAAGCGUUGUCCGGAAUUAUUGGGCGUAAAGAGCUCGUAGGCGGUCUGUUGCGUCCGCUGUGAAAACUCGGGGCUUAACCCCGAGCCUGCAGUGGAUACGGGCAGACUAGAGGUAGGUAGGGGAGAAUGGAAUUCCCGGUGUAGCGGUGAAAUGCGCAGAUAUCGGGAGGAACACCGGUGGCGAAAGCGGCUCACUGGACCAUAACUGACGCUGAUGCACGAAAGCUGGGGGGAGCAAACAGG
rnacentral:rRNA from 1 species